rnacentral:rRNA from 1 species
UGGGGAAUAUUGCACAAUGGGCGCAAGCCUGAUGCAGCCAUGCCGCGUGUGUGAAGAAGGCCUUCGGGUUGUAAAGCACUUUCAGCGAGGAGGAAAGGUGGUGAGCUUAAUACGCUCAUCAAUUGACGUUACUCGCAGAAGAAGCACCGGCUAACUCCGUGCCAGCAGCCGCGGUAAUNCGGAGGGUGCAAGCGUUAAUCGGAAUUACUGGGCGUAAAGCGCACGCAGGCGGUUUGUUAAGUCAGAUGUGAAAUCCCCGGGCUCAACCUGGGAACUGCAUUUGAAACUGGCAAGCUAGAUCUCGUAGAGGGGGGUAGAAUUCCAGGUGUAGCGGUGAAAUGCGUAGAGAUCUGGAGGAAUACCGGUGGCGAAGGC